rnacentral:rRNA from 1 species
AACGAACGCUGGCGGCAUGCCUAACACAUGCAAGUCGAACGAAGGCUUCGGCCUUAGUGGCGCACGGGUGCGUAACGCGUGGGAAUCUGCCCUUUGGUUCGGAAUAACAGCUGGAAACGGCUGCUAAUACCGGAUGAUGACGAAAGUCCAAAGAUUUAUCGCCAGAGGAUGAGCCCGCGUUGGAUUAGGUAGUUGGUGGGGUAAAGGCCUACCAAGCCGACGAUCCAUAGCUGGUCUGAGAGGAUGAUCAGCCACACUGGGACUGAGACACGGCCCAGACUCCUACGGGAGGCAGCAGUGGGGAAUAUUGGACAAUGGGCGCAAGCCUGAUCCAGCAAUGCCGCGUGAGUGAUGAAGGCCCUAGGGUUGUAAAGCUCUUUUACCCGGGAAGAUAAUGACUGUACCGGGAGAAUAAGCCCCGGCUAACUCCGCG